rnacentral:tRNA from 1 species
CAUUAAAUAGCUAAAAGCAAGCAUUGGUCUCUUAAACCACUUAUAAUAACUUAGCGUCUAUUUUUAAUG